AACGAACGCUGGCGGCAGGCCUAACACAUGCAAGUCGAGCGCGCACUUCGGGGUGAGCGGCGGACGGGUGAGUAACGCGUGGGAACGUGCCCUUUUCUACGGAAUAGCCUCGGGAAACUGAGAGUAAUACCGUAUACGCCCUUUGGGGGAAAGAUUUAUCGGAAAAGGAUCGGCCCGCGUUGGAUUAGGUAGUUGGUGGGGUAAUGGCCUACCAAGCCGACGAUCCAUAGCUGGUUUGAGAGGAUGAUCAGCCACACUGGGACUGAGACACGGCCCAGACUCCUACGGGAGGCAGCAGUGGGGAAUCUUAGACAAUGGGGGCAACCCUGAUCUAGCCAUGCCGCGUGAGUGAUGAAGGCCUUAGGGUUGUAAAGCUCUUUCAGCUGGGAAGAUAAUGACGGUACCAGCAGAAGAAGCCCCGGCUAACUCCGUG
rnacentral:rRNA from 1 species